CUACGAGUCAUGGCUCUUCAUUUUUCUCACAUUCAAGUUCAGCAUCAGGAUCAUCCUCGCAUUCCGGUUCAUUUUCACAUUCCGCUUCUUCUAAAGGUUCUGGCUCUUCCCCAGAUUCCAACAAGUCUAAGGAUUGUGGAUCUUCAUCU